rnacentral:rRNA from 1 species
CUCAGGAUGAACGCUGGCGGCGUGCUUAACACAUGCAAGUCGAACGAUGACCUCCAGCUUGCUGGGGUGAUUAGUGGCGAACGGGUGAGUAACACGUGAGUAACCUGCCCUUAACUCUGGGAUAAGCCUGGGAAACUGGGUCUAAUACCGGAUAUGACUCCUCAUCGCAUGGUGGGGGGUGGAAAGCUUUUUGUGGUUUUGGAUGGACUCGCGGCCUAUCAGCUUGUUGGUGAGGUAAUGGCUCACCAAGGCGACGACGGGUAGCCGGCCUGAGAGGGUGACCGGCCACACUGGGACUGAGACACGGCCCAGACUCCUACGGGAGGCAGCAGUGGGGAAUAUUGCACAAUGGGCGAAAGCCUGAUGCAGCGACGCCGCGUGAGGGAUGACGGCCUUCGGGUUGUAAACCUCUUUCAGUAGGGAAGAAGCGAAAGUGACGGUACCUGCAGAAGAAGCGCCGGCUAACUACGUGCCAGCAGCCGCGGUAAUACGUAGGGCGCAAGCGUUAUCCGGAAUUAUUGGGCGUAAAGAGCUCGUAGGCGGUUUGUCGCGUCUGCCGUGAAAGUCCGGGGCUCAACUCCGGAUCUGCGGUGGGUACGGGCAGACUAGAGUGAUGUAGGGGAGACUGGAAUUCCUGGUGUAGCGGUGAAAUGCGCAGAUAUCAGGAGGAACACCGAUGGCGAAGGCAGGUCUCUGGGCAUUAACUGACGCUGAGGAGCGAAAGCAUGGGGAGCGAACAGGAUUAGAUACCCUGGUAGUCCAUGCCGUAAACGUUGGGCACUAGGUGUGGGGGACAUUCCACG